GGCUCUGUGGCGCAAUGGAUAGCGCAUUGGACUUCUAAUUCAAAGGUUGUGGGUUCGAGCCCCACCAGAGUCG
rnacentral:tRNA from 1 species